CUCACACCAUUCACCAUUCAG
rnacentral:misc_RNA from 1 species